rnacentral:rRNA from 1 species
AAGGCCCCUACGUCUUUAUCACCAACUCUGUAUUCAUAGAAUGUAAUCCAUAUCUUCGCCUUAACAAGCGUUGGUAAAACUUAUACAACUUUCAACAACGGAUCUCUUGGCUCUCGCAUCGAUGAAGAACGCAGCGAAAUGCGAUAAGUAAUGUGAAUUGCAGAUUUUCAGUGAAUCAUCGAAUCUUUGAACGCACCUUGCGCCCCUUGGUAUUCCGAGGGGCAUGCCUGUUUGAGUGUCAUUAAAUUCUCAACUCCGAUUUGAUUUGUUUCUUAUCGUAUCUUGUACUUUGGAGCGUGCUGGCGUAAGGUCGGCUCCUCUUAAAUGUAUCAGCGGAAUCUAACCUUUGGAUUCUGGACAUCGGUGUGAUAAUAAAAGUUGCGCCGUCGUUCUACUUCAAAGUCCGCUUACAAUGGUCUUUUGACAAACUCUUAUCAAAUUUGACCUCAAAUCAGGUAGGACUACCCGCUGAACUUAA